rnacentral:rRNA from 1 species
AUACAUAGGGGGCGAGCGUUAUCCGGAAUUAUUGGGCGUAAAGCGUGCGUAGGCGGUUUAUUAAGUCUGACGUGAAAUCCCACAGCUUAACUGUGGAGGGUCGUUGGAAACUGGUAGGCUUGAGUACAGUAGAGGUAAGUGGAAUUCCAAGUGGAGCGGUGGAAUGCGUAGAUAUUUGGAGGAACACCAGUGGCGAAGGCGGCUUACUGGGCUGGAACUGACGCUGAUGCACGAAAGCGUGGGGAGCAAACAGGAUUAGAUACCCUGGUAGUCCACGCCGUAAACGUUGAGCACUAAGUGUCGGGAAUAAUCUCGGCGCUGCAGUUAACACAAUAAGUGCUCCGCCUGGUGAGUACGGUCGCAAGACUGAA